CGACCCCAGCUCAGGCGAGAACACCCACUGAGUUUAAGCAUAUAAUUAAGCGGAGGAAAAGAAAAUUACAAGGAUUCCCCUAGUAACGGCGAGCGAACCGGGAAGAGCCCAGCAUGAAAAUCAGGUGGUAGCGUCGCCUGAAUUGUAGUCUGUAGAAGCGUCCUUAGCGGUGAAC
rnacentral:ncRNA from 1 species